rnacentral:piRNA from 1 species
GUAGGAUACAAAGCAAUG